rnacentral:rRNA from 1 species
UACGUAGGUGGCAAGCGUUGUCCGGAUUUACUGGGCGUAAAGAGCGCGCAGGCGGUCGUUCAAGUCGCGUGUGAAAGCCCCCGGCUCAACUGGGGAGGGUCACGCGAUACUGAUCGACUCGAAGGCAGGAGAGGGUAGUGGAAUUCCCGGUGUAGUGGUGAAAUGCGUAGAUAUCGGGAGGAACACCAGUGGCGAAGGCGAGUCUCUGGGAUGAUGCUGACGCUGAGGCGCGAAAGCCAGGGGAGCAAACGGG